AUAAAUUUUGGGCUGACCGAAAAAAAAUUUUCGCCAUAGACCAACUUAGAAAGGUUCAAAACGCAUAUUAACGGAGAUAGGAUUGGCUCAGGAGAAUUUUAAAGCACAUUUUCACAUGGCUAUAAUAGCACUGAGCCGUAUGCAAAUGUUCCUUGCCCGUCACGAUUCACUAUAAAUUACACUACGCUUGCCCGGAUUUCAGAGUCAAAUAAAACUAGGCUUGUCACUUAGAAAAUUUUUGGCUGAUCGAAAAAACGUUUUCGUCAUAGACCGACCUAGAAAGGCCCAAAACGCAUAUUAGCGGAGAUAGGUUUGGCUCAGGGGAAUUUUAAAGC